UCGUCGUCGUCGUCGGUCGGUCGGUCGGUCGCUUCGCCUCACCUCUCCACUCUUCUCUUCGCUAUAUUUCGUUUCGUCUCUCUUCGCUAUCGUCUGCUGGCGUUGUUUCCAGCGCGCGUGUAGCUGGGCAUAUGUGUGAAUGUGUGUAUACAUAUAUGUGUGUGUAUCUGUAUGUGUGUGGGCUGUGUAUUUGUAUCUGUAUCUGCUGUGUAUAUGAGGCUAUGGCUGUGACUCCGGCUGUUCGCUGUUGCGAUACUAACGAACGAACGUCCCAAAUGUCGACGUUGCCGUUGCCGUUGCUUUUGCUGUUGCUGUUGCUGUUGUUGCUUUUUGUAUAUUUUCAGUUUGUAUAGCGAAUGGCAUGGUACGACGCCUGAGGAGGGAGCUGGCUGGUUGCUGUUGCUGUUGCUGAAGUGGUUGCUGUUGGCUGGGCUGCUCGAGGACGUCCGUUCGUUCAUUUCGUAUCGUUUCGUAGCGUUUCGUUUCGUCUUUUGGUUCGUUUGUGCGUUUGCGUGCAAAAGCAACGAAAACUCAUAUUCAUUUUAUAGUGAAACUCAACUCAACGCAGCUUAAGCUUAAUGUACAGAAGUAGCAGCAGCAGCAGCAGCAGCAGCCGCAGCAACAUUCCAACUGGCAGCUUAAAUGUUGUUGCUGUUACGGCUUGGUUUCUUCGUUGGUUGGCUGCCUUCGCCUGCGCGAAGGUUUUUGAAAAACGCGCGCAGCUGUUACAGCAAUUGGGUAACAUUAGCCUCAGGAACCCAUUUAAAGCAAAUCAGUAUUUGCUCGCCUGCUAGACUCUCAAUAUAAUAGAACUUAAAGAGUAAUUUAGUUGCGAAUGAGAAAUACACUCUUCACCUAUCCAUACUUUCUAGUCCUAAUCGACUAAUAUGGAGCCCUUAGAUUCUAUAUUCUAUAUAAUUUUUCGUUUAUAUUCUAUAUACUAUUUAAAAUCAUAAGACUUGUGCCGGCAUUUGCAUCUGAAGCUGACUGCGCACAAUUUUACCAAAAUUUAACAGAGCAACAGAAACAGAAACUGAAACUUAACCAAACGAAUGUUCGCAUUAAAGUUUAUUUCGAAACCAACUCACUGGCGGCAGCAGCAGCAGCAGCAGCAGCAGCAGCAGCAGCAGCAACAGCAACGGCAACAGAGCCAGCAGCAGCAGUGGCAGCAAAAAAAAAGCCCCAACAGCAACGCAAAUGAAAAACGCCAACGAACAACGAACGAGCGCACAGAAAGCAGCACACAGCAACAACAACAAUAAUAAAAAAAAAAAAAGAGAAAAAAUCAAGUAAAAUUACGACAAGCAAAGAGGCAGCAGUGACGGCAGCAGCGAGGGCAGCGGCAGCAACGUUGAAAGAAAACAAGAAACUUCGUCGCAGCAGCAACGAAUGUGGGGAGCAGGGCGUCCACAUGGCAGAGAGAGCGAGAGAGAGACAGUGAGAACUAGGUAGGGAUGUAGAAGCGGGAAGAGUGGGACAAGGGAAAGCAGCCGCACAAAGUGUGUGACUGUUUGAGUGCCUCUGUGUGUGUGUGUGUGUGUGUGCGGUGGGGCGAAGGUGAAGCAUGCGAUGGCGUUGGCUGCUAUAACGUCAGGCAAGACUGAGGCGAAAACGACGACAGCGAUGAAAAAACCCAGCACCGAACGAACCAACAGUGCCAGCAAAAAUUUAUAAUAAAAGCAGCAGCAGCAACAGCAACAACAACGACAACGACAGCGGCAGACGUUGAAGGCAACAACGAUGGCGUUGCUUGCAACUCUGAACAGUGCCAGGCCAACCAGCCCGUCAACUAUCCAACGAGCAGCACAGCUUUAGCUGCCUCUCCAAAGAAAAGAGAAGAGAAGAGAGAUAUACCCUGCAUCUUAAUCCACUGUUCACUCCAAUCAUUCAACCUUACCAAGCGGCAGGGCAAAACGCAAAUGUCAAGAAGAACGAGCGAACCCAACGAACGCAGUUCUGUCGGCAACAACAACAACAAUGACGACGACGACGACAACGACGACGAUGAAAACACCAAGGAGUGGGCGGCAGCCCAAGUGUUGGAACGCUAGUGCUGUCUACCAGGAGCUGAGUACGAGGCCUAAAAUAUUCCCGCCAGCUCUCCCCAGAGCGCCUCACACCACAUUUCAGUACGAUAAAGGAAAUGCCACACCACUGUGACAAUACAUUUGCUAGAGCUGGCCCCCAAAGCCAGGGCAUACCGUAGCCUGAAUAGUCGUCCUCGGUGCUCGGUGCUCGGUCCUCAUCGACGUCGUCGUCUUCGUUGUCGUUGUAGUUGUUGUUUUCGUUCUAAGCGACGCACAUGGCCGCAUACCACAGAGCGGAGCACACUCUGCUCGAGCCCUGAGUCAGAACCUGCAGUCGACAACAGCAACAACAACAACAAUGUCGAAUGUCGGUCCGCUCUUAUACGAUUGCUGCUUCAUGUGCUUUAGUGCCGAGCCAACACUGGCUCCAGCACAGGCUACAUCAGCACCGCCGGCACCGUCACCGCCAACAACUCUGGGCUCUGGCUCCACUGCUUGAAUUUUGUUGCCGCUGCCAUUGCCGUUGCCUCUGCCUCUGCCUUAUUCCCAUUUACAGCGUCAGCUCUGAAACGUAGGGCUUGGGACUUUAGUUCUGACUCUGACUGUGUCUUUGGCUCGAGCAGUCGAGCUACGACCAUUGCCGUCUGCUGCUGGCUGGUUUGUAGGUUCUGGUUCUCAAGCAAGCACAUGGCUAACAGCAACAAAAGCGACGUUGACGACGACGACGACCAGUUGCCACUUGCGCAACGCAAAAAAAAAAAAAAAAAAAAAAAAUCGAAAAGAAAAGAAAACCCAACAGCAACAUCGAUCGAUGUAUGUGUAUAAAAAUAGAGGGAGCCUUACUCUCAUAUGGGUAGGUGGGAAAUAAUUAUCAUAUUUGGGGUAAAUAUAUAUGUAUAUCUAGAGCACAUGAAGGGUAUAAGUACAAAUAUAUUAUAUUAUUGGAAGUUCAGACGAAUGUAUUAGCUAUAAAUAUUAUAGUUAGCGGCUGAUCAGAUUAAGGACAGCUUAAUUUAGCCAUAGCAUUAACUAAUAAAACAAAACCAUGUAGAAAAUAAUUUUGUAAAAUUAAAUAAAAAGACUUUGAUUUAAAAGAAAAUAUA